GACGGAGGGGGCUAGCGUUGUUCGGAAUGACUGGGCGUAAAGGGCGCGUAGGCGGCGUAUCAAGUCAGGCGUGAAAGCCUCGGGCUUAACCCGAGAACUGCGCUUGAGACUGGUAUGCUAGAGGACGAGAGAGGAAAGCGGAAUUCCGAGUGUAGAGGUGAAAUUCGUAGAUAUUCGGAGGAACAUCAGAGGCGAAGGCGGCUUUCUGGCUCGUAUCUGACGCUGAGGCGCGAAAGCGUGGGGAGCAAAC
rnacentral:rRNA from 1 species